GACGAACCGUGCAAACGUUGUUCGGAAUCACUGGGCUUAAAGGGCGCGUAGGCGGCAAUUCAAGUCCGGGGUGAAAGCCCCCAGCUCAACUGGGGAAGUGCCUUGGAAACUGGAGUGCUCGAGGGAGGUAGGGGUCGAGGGAACUUCUGGUGGAGCGGUGAAAUGCGUUGAUAUCAGAAGGAACGCCGGUGGCGAAAGCGCUCGACUGGACCUCUUCUGACGCUGAGGCGCGAAAGCUAGGGGAGCAAACGGG
rnacentral:rRNA from 1 species